rnacentral:rRNA from 1 species
AGAGUUUGAUCCUGGCUCAGAUUGAACGCUGGCGGCAUGCCUUACACAUGCAAGUCGAACGGCAGCACGGGAGCAAUCCUGGUGGCGAGUGGCGAACGGGUGAGUAAUAUAUCGGAACGUGCCCAGUCGUGGGGGAUAACGUAGCGAAAGCUACGCUAAUACCGCAUACGAUCUACGGAUGAAAGCGGGGGACUCGUAAGGGCCUCGCGCGAUUGGAGCGGCCGAUAUCAGAUUAGGUUGUUGGUGAGGUAAAAGCUCACCAAGCCUGCGAUCUGUAGCUGGUCUGAGAGGACGACCAGCCACACUGGAACUGAGACACGGUCCAGACUCCUACGGGAGGCAGCAGUGGGGAAUUUUGGACAAUGGACGCAAGUCUGAUCCAGCAAUGCCGCGUGCAGGACGAAGGCCUUCGGGUUGUAAACUGCUUUUGUACGGAACGAAACGGUCUGCUUUAAUACAGUGGGCUAAUGACGGUACCGU